rnacentral:rRNA from 1 species
UGGGGAAUAUUGCACAAUGGGGGAAACCCUGAUGCAGCGACGCCGCGUGGAGGAAGAAGGUCUUCGGAUUGUAAACUCCUGUUGUUGAGGAAGAUAAUGACGGUACUCAACAAGGAAGUGACGGCUAACUACGUGCCAGCAGCCGCGGUAAACGUAGGUCACAAGCGUUGUCCGGAAUUACUGGGUGUAAAGGGAGCGCAGGCGGGAGAACAAGUUGGAAGUGAAAUCCAUGGGCUCAACCCAUGAACUGCUUUCAAAACUGUUUUCUUGAGUAGUGCAGAGGUAGGCGGAAUUCCCGGUGUAGCGGUGGAAUGCGUAGAUAUCGGGAGGAACACCAGUGGCGAAGGCGGCCUACUGGGCACCAACUGACGCUGAGGCUCGAAAGUGUGGGUAGCAAACA